UAGGGGGCAAGCGUUGUCCGGAAUGACUGGGCGUAAAGGGUGUGUAGGCGGUUUAGCAAGUUAGAAGUGAAAAUCACGGGCUCAACUCGUGAACUGCAUUUGAAACUGUAUUUCUUGAGGGUCGGAGAGGUAAACGGAAUUCCCAGUGUAGCGGUGAAAUGCGUAGAUAUUGGGAGGAACACCAGUGGCGAAGGCGGUUUACUGGACGACAACUGACGCUGAGACACGAAAGCGUGGGGAGCAAA
rnacentral:rRNA from 1 species